CGGAACGGCAUGCUAGUACGGCGAGUGAGCGGCAACAGCUCAAAUUUGAAAUCUGGCCCUCGGGUCCGAGUUGUAAUUUGUAGAGGAUGCUUUGGGUGCGGUGCCUUCCGAGUUCCUUGGAACAGGACGCCUUAGAGGGUGAGAGCCCCGUACGGUUGGACACCAAGCCUAUGUAAAGCUCCUUCGACGAGUCGAGUAGUUUGGGAAUGCUGCUCUAAAUGGGAGGUAAAUUUCUUCUAAAGCUAAAUACCGGCCAGAGACCGAUAGCGCACAAGUAGAGUGAUCGAAAGAUGAAAAGUACUUUGAAAAGAGGGUUAAAUAGCACGUGAAAUUGUUGAAAGGGAAGCGUUUAUGACCAGACCUCUGCCUGGCGGAUCAUCCGGUGUUCUUCACCGGUGCACUUCGCCUGGCUCAGGCCAGCAUCGAUUUCUGCAGGGGGAUAAAGGCCGUGGGAAUGUAGCUCCCUUCGGGGAGUGUUAUAGCCCUAGGUGUAAUACCUCUGCGGGGAUCGAGGUUCGCGCUUCUGCAAGGAUGCUGGCGUAAUGGUCAUCAACGACCCGUCUUGAACCCCCCGAACCA
rnacentral:rRNA from 1 species